rnacentral:sRNA from 1 species
UUUUUCAGGUAUUUCUUAUGAAGCUUCAAAGCACCAGCACAAGCUUUUUUGGCAUCUAAAUUUCCAUUUACAUCAUUCAGAAUCUUAACCAAAACAAAGUCCUCUAGCUUCCUGUAAUAGCUUUUCUCUUUUUUCCUUGAGAACACUUGCAACCAUGAAAACUGAAAUUGGAACUGGACCAUCAGUAUCCUCAGAUCCAUUUUUCGAAUUCUCUUUAUCUUUGUCUUUGUCCCACUUGCCAAAAUGGCGUACCCCUCUCAAUUUUGAUUUAGAUACUUUACUUUUGUGAGCACUUGCAUCUUCACAAGCGGCAAAGAAGAUGUCGGGAUCAUAUUCCAGAGCCCACAUCAUCUGUUGACAGAUACAGGGAGUCCCCAAAUGACACUUCGCGUCGAAAUAGCACCAUGAACAUACGAAAUGCAAAAAGAUAAUCACCUCCACCAAGUAUUUCUAGGUGGUCAUGUAGCUUUGGAUCAAGCACCUGAAUAAUAGAUGCAAGGUACUGAAGUUGAUUAGCCACACCCACAGAUUGAUCCGUGCAUUUGAAAUUUCCUCUCAAUCUACGCAUCAAUUUCUCAAAGCACCAAAAGGCAUCUGCUUCAUCCUUGAGUAGCACGAUCAUUGGCGAGCAUAAAUCGCUCAUUCCUGUUUUGAGUAACCAACAUCUUUAUCAAUCCAAGCAUACACAGCUAGAAUAUCCCACAACUUGGAAAGAUUUUCUUUGUUCUCAUAAAAUACCAUAGUGCGGUCCGUACGUAGCACAUCAACAUACCAAUUUGAUGCAAAGUAAGCUUCCAGUCAAUAAUGAGCUUAUCUGUAAUACGGCUUGCAGAUUCAUCUAUUUCAUUUCCAUUUGUGCUGCUUGUUGAAGUACCGUCUGAUGUGUUUUCGGAUGAAGUAGCCUCGAGUAAAACCAAAGGGUCUUUGAUGGGUCUACCAUCCUCAGUGAUUAAUGGUGCUGUGAUCACUUUCCCGCUACCAACAUGAGAAUCCAUCUCUCGGCAGUCUUCCUUCCAUCUAGCAUAUUUACCUUCUUAUUUGCCUGAUUUCCUCCCUCUCAUCAAAGGUACUCCUGGGAUCAAAACAUCCAAGUAAAAACUCCCAAACCUCUCCCCUUACUGUUGGAUGCACACCC